UUUUAAUCCGUUAAGCAUCUGUU
rnacentral:snRNA from 1 species